rnacentral:rRNA from 1 species
GCAAGUCACACGGGAUUGGGGCAACUCAAUUCAGUGGCGAACGGGUGAGUAACACGUGGAUGAUCUACCCUUUAGAUCGGGAUAACUAGCCGAAAGGUUAGCUAAUACCGGGUAUGACCACGGUCUGUAUCGUCAGAUCGAGGUAAGAGCAGGGGACCGCAAGGCCUUGCGCUAAAGGAUGAGUCCGCGGCUGAUUAGCUAGUUGGCGGGGUAAUGGCCCACCAAGGCGACGAUCAGUAGCCGGCCUGAGAGGGUGAUCGGCCACACUGGGACUGAGACACGGCCCAGACUCCUACGGGAGGCAGCAGUAGGGAAUUUUCCACAAUGGGCGAAAGCCUGAUGGAGCAACGCCGCGUGAGGGAUGAAGGUUUUCGGAUCGUAAACCUCUUUGGAGCGGGAAGAACGGCUUAUGGGUGAAUAAUCCAUAGGCGUGACGGUACCGCUAGAACAAGACACGGCUAACUCUGUGCCAGCAGCCGCGGUAAUACAGAGGUGUCAAACGUUGUCCGGAAUUAUUGGGCGUAAAGGGCGCGUAGGCGGCCAGGUAAGUGAGAUGUGAAAGCUCUGGGCUCAACCCAGGAAUUGCUUUUCAUACUGCUUGGCUAGAGAUUGGUAGAGGAUGGCGGAAUUCCAGGUGUAGCGG